GACAUCACAGGUAGAUGCGGGUUUCCCAGAACCGACUUGGAGCAGGAAGUGGAGCAACUGAAGAGGCAGGUGGAGCAGGAAGUGGAGCAUCUGAAGAACCAGGUGAGGCGCCUUCAGGCUGAGAAAGCGGACCUGCUGGGCAUCGUCUCAGAACUGCAGCUCAAGCUCAACUCCAGCGGCUCCUCAGAAGACUCCUUCGUGGAGAUCAGGAUGACUGUAAGAACUGUGGGGUGUUUUAAUAUGAAGCAAAUGCCCAACCCCCUCUAGACAUGUGAAACACAAUGCCUGAAUGUCUGUCUUAUCUAACACAGACGAUCCAAAUAGCAAGAUUCCAGU
rnacentral:lncRNA from 1 species